CUCUCUUUUCAACAGGUCUCUGUUGCCACAGAAGGAAGAAGUCAAUUGAUCUGACACUGAGGUUGGAGAAAUCAUCAAAAGGUUGAGCUAUUAAAAUUUGCAGUAUGGUACAAAAGGAUUGGGGAAAUUUUUUUCUCAAGCAUGAAGCCAAUGGUUUAAACCAUAUGGAAUCAAUUUGAGGAAGCUCACGAUAAUCCUAUUGCAACUGAGCAUGAUCCCUUCACAAU